GGCUCAGUAGCUUAGUUGGUAAAGGACUCGUCUAGCAUACCAGAGUCGCGGGUUCGAAUCCCACCUGAGCAA
rfam:Aedes aegypti strain Liverpool supercont1.864 genomic scaffold, whole genome shotgun sequence.